UACGUAGGGGGCAAGCGUUGUCCGGAAUCAUUGGGCGUAAAGAGCGUGUAGGCGGCCCGAUAAGUCCGCUGUGAAAGUCGGGGGCUCAACCCUCGAAUGCCGGUGGAUACUGUCGGGCUAGAGUGCGGAAGAGGCGAGUGGAAUUCCUGGUGUAGCGGUGAAAUGCGCAGAUAUCAGGAGGAACACCUAUUGCGAAGGCAGCUCGCUGGGACGUUACUGACGCUGAGACGCGAAAGCGUGGGGAGCAAACAGG
rnacentral:rRNA from 1 species